AGCGAACGCUGGCGGCAGGCUUAACACAUGCAAGUCGAGCGGGCGUAGCAAUACGUCAGCGGCAGACGGGUGAGUAACGCGUGGGAACGUACCUUUUGGUUCGGAACAACACAGGGAAACUUGUGCUAAUACCGGAUAAGCCCUUACGGGGAAAGAUUUAUCGCCGAAAGAUCGGCCCGCGUCUGAUUAGCUAGUUGGUGUGGUAACGGCGCACCAAGGCGACGAUCAGUAGCUGGCUGAGAGGAUGAUCAGCCACAUUGGGACUGAGACACGGCCCAAACUCCUACGGGAGGCAGCAGUGGGGAAUAUUGGACAAUGGCGCAAGCCUGAUCCAGCCAUGCCGCGUGAGUGAUGAAGGCCC
rnacentral:rRNA from 1 species